rnacentral:rRNA from 1 species
GACGAACGCUGGCGGCGUGCUUAACACAUGCAAGUCGAGCGGUAAGGCCCUUUCGGGGGUACACGGAGCGGCGAACGGGUGAGUAACACGUGGGUGACCUGCCUCAGCUCUGGGGAUAGGCCCGGGAAACUGGGUCUAAUACCGGAUAUGACUCCAUGACGCAAUGUUGUGGGGGUGAAAGCCUUGUGCGGCUGAGGAUGGGCCCGNGGCCUAUCAGCUCGUUGGUGGGGUGAUGGCCUACCAAGGCGACGAC